CCUACGGGUGGCAGCAGUGGGGGAUAUUGGACAAUGGGGGAAACCCUGAUCCAGCGACGCCGCGUGAGUGAAGAAGUAUUUCGGUAUGUAAAGCUCUGUCAGCAGGGAAGAAAGAAAUGACGGUACCUGACUAAGAAGCCCCGGCUAACUACGUGCCAGCAGCCGCGGUAAUACGUAGGGGGCAAGCGUUAUCCGGAAUUACUGGGUGUAAAGGGAGCGUAGACGGUGAUGCAAGGCUGGAGUGAAAGGCGUGGGCCUAACCCCCGGACUGCUCUGGAAACUGUGUAACUUGAGUGCAGGAGAGGUAAGCGGAAUUCCUAGUGUAGCGGUGAAAUGCGUAGAUAUUAGGAGGAACACCAGUGGGGAAGGCGGCUUACUGGACUGUAACUGACGUUGAGGCUCGAAAGCGUGGGGAGCAAACAGGAUUAGAUACCCCAGUAGUC
rnacentral:rRNA from 1 species